rnacentral:rRNA from 1 species
CGGCGAGUGAAGCGGCAACAGCUCAAAUUUGAAAUCUGGCCCUUGGGUCCGAGUUGUAAUUUGUAGAGGAUGUUUUGGGUACCGCCGCGGUUUAAAUUUCUUGGAACAGAAUGUCAGAGAGGGUGAGAGUCCCGUCUGGAACUGCGGUAGGGCCUGGGUAAAACUCCUUCGACGAGUCGAGUUGUUUGGGAAUGCAGCUCAAAAUGGGUGGUAAAUUUCAUCUAAAGCUAAAUAUUGGCCAGAGACCGAUAGCGCACAAGUAGAGUGAUCGAAAGAUGAAAAGCACUUUGAAAAGAGAGUUAAACAGUAUGUGAAAUUGUUGAAAGGGAAGCGCUUGCAACCAGACUUGUGUGUGGCGGUUCCCCCUUGCUUCUGCUUGGGCUACUCCGUCAUGUUCAGGCCAACAUCGGUUCCAGGGGUCGGUUAAAGGCCCUGGGAAUGUACCUACCUCCGGGUAGACUUAUAGCCCAGGGUGUCAUGCGGCCUCCCGGGACCGAGGAACACGCUUCGGCGAGGAUGUUGGCGUAAUGGUUGUCAGCGACCCGUCUUGAAACACGGACCAAGGAGUCUAACAUCUAUGCGAGUGUUUGGGUGUCAAACCCGUGCGCGAAAUGAAAGUGAACGGAGGUAGGAAGCCUUUAGGCUGCACUAUCGACCGAUCCUGAUAUUUAUGGAUGGAUUUGAGUAAGAGCAUAGCUGUUGGGACCCGAAAGAUGGUGAACUAUGCCUGAAUAGGGUGAAGCCAGAGGAAACUCUGGUGGAGGCUCGCAGCGGUUCUGACGUGCAAAUCGAUCGUCAAAUUUGGGUAUAGGGGCGAAAGACUAAUCGAACCAUUGCCACGACAAGCACGACGAGAAACGUGUUGUGCAGUCAGUUACUAGGUGGUUAAGUGUAGCCUAAAAGUGGCUGCAAGUGCCUGAUUCUGGCGCGACACUGCUAAAUUGCGGGGACAUCCUAAAGCUAUUGUUACCAAGCUGACCUCUGAAAGGGGGCGGUGGCCGGGGUAAUGACCUAGGGUAUGGUAAAAACACAAUAGAUGUGACAAUGGACAAUCCGCAGCCAAGUCCUAAGGGCCAAGUGCCUAUGGAUGCAGUUCACAGACUAAAUGGCAGUGGGCUUCAAGGCACCGAGCUUGGGGCUUAAGAUAUAGUCGGACCCCGGGGAAAGCCCGGGCGCAUACGCUAAAUCUGUGGUAUAGAAUAACCUCUUGCGGGGGAUAUCACAGACCCGAACGGUGCGGGCACCCCUUUCAGGGGGUGUUGGUCAACGCUGGUAGCUGGUUCCUGCCGAAGUUUCCCUCAGGAUAGCAGUAACGUUUUCAGUUUUAUGAGGUAAAGCGAAUGAUUAGAGGCCUUGGGGUUGAAACAACCUUAACCUAUUCUCAAACUUUAAAUAUGUAAGAAGCCCUUGUUACUUAAUUGAACGUGGGCAUUUGAAUGUAUCGUUACUAGUGGGCCAUUUUUGGUAAGCAGAACUGGCGAUGCGGGAUGAACCGAACGAGAGGUUAAGGUGCCGGAGUGCACGCUCAUCAGACACCACAAAAGGUGUCAAUGCAUCUAGACAGCCGGACGGUGGCCAUGGAAGUCGGAAUCCGCUUAGGAGUGUGUAACAACUCACCGGCCGAAUGCAUU